UACGUAGGGUGCGAGCGUUGUCCGGAUUUAUUGGGCGUAAAGGGCGCGUAGGCGGCUUUGUGCGUCACACGUGAAAGCCCCUGGCUUAACCAGGGAGGGUCGUGUGAAACGGCGAAGCUGGAGGCAGAGAGAGGCUGGUGGAAUUCCCGGAGUAGUGGUGAAAUGCGUAGAUAUCAGGAGGAACACCGGUGGCGAAGGCGGCUAUCUGGACAGAGUCUGACGCUGAGGCGCGAAAGCUAGGGCAGCAAACAGG
rnacentral:rRNA from 1 species